AGCUUGCUAAUAAUUCUCUAGUGGCGCACGGGUGAGUAACACGUGAGUACCUGCCCCCAAGAGUGGGAUAGCCCCGGGAAACUGGGAUUAAUACCGCAUAAAGCAAUAAAGCAGCAAUGCGCUUGGGGAUGGGCUCGCGUCCUAUUAGUUAGUUGGUGAGGUAACGGCUCACCAAGGCGAUGACGGGUAGCCGGUCUGAGGGGAUGUCCGGCCACACUGGAACUGAGACACGGUCCAGACACCUACGGGUGGCAGCAGUCGAGAAUCAUUCACAAUGGGGGAAACCCUGAUGGUGCGACGCCGCGUGGGGGAUAAGGUCUUCGGAUUGUAAACCCCUGUCAUGUGGGACAUUAAAAGAUAGUACCACAAGAGGAAGAGACGGCUAACUCUGUGCCAGCAGCCGCGGUAAUACAGAGGUCUCAAGCGUUGUUCGGAAUCACUGGGCGUAAAGUGUGCGUAGGCGGUUUCGUAAGUCGUGUGUGAAAGGCGGGGGCUCAACCCCCGGACUGCACAUGAUACUGCGAGACUAGAGUAAUGGAGGGGGAACCGGAAUUCUCGGUGUAGCAGUGAAAUGCGUAGAUAUCGAGAGGAACACUCGUGGCGAAGGCGGGUUCCUGGACAUUAACUGACGCUGAGGCACGAAGGCCAGGGGAGCGAAAGGGAUUAGAUACCCCUGUAGUCCUGGCAGUAAACGG
rnacentral:rRNA from 1 species